rnacentral:rRNA from 1 species
CCUACGGGAGGCUGCAGUGGGGAAUAUUGCACAAUGGGGGAAACCCUGAUGCGGCAACGCCGCGUGAGUGAAGAAGUAUCUCGGUAUGUAAAGCUCUAUCAGCAGGGAAGUAGAAAGACGGUACCUUACUAAGAAGCCCCGGCUAACUACGUGCCAGCAGCCGAGGUAAUACGUAGGGGGCAAGCGUGAUCCGGAUUUACUGGGUGUAACGGGAGCGUAGACGGCUGUGCAAGUCUGAAGUGAAAGCCCGUGGCUCAACCGGGGGACUGCUUUUGAUACUGUGCGGCUUGAGUACUGGAGAGGCAGGCGGAAUUCGUAGUGUAGCGGUGAAAUGCGUAGAUAUUAGGAGGAACACCAGUGGCGAAGGCGGCCUGCUGGACAGAAACUGACGUUGAGGCUCGAAAGCGUGGGGAGCAAACAGGAUUAGAUACCCCAGUAGUC